AUUGAACGCUGGCGGCAUGCCUAACACAUGCAAGUCGAACGAGAAAGUAUCUUCGGAUAUGAGUAGAGUGGCGGACGGGUGAGUAAUGCAUAGGAAUCUGCCUAGUAGUGGGGGGGGGACAACUGCCGGAAACGGUAGCUAAUACCGCAUACGUCCUACGGGAGAAAGCCUUCGGGCGCUAUUAGAUGAGCCUAUGUCUGAUUAGCUUGUUGGUGGGGUAAUGGCCCACCAAGGCGACGAUCAGUAGCUGGUCUGAGAGGACGACCAGCCGCACUGGGACUGAGACACGGCCCAGACUCCUACGGGAGGCAGCAGUGGGGAAUAUUGGACAAUGGGGGAAACCCUGAUCCAGCAAUGCCGCGUGUGUGAAGAAGGCCUGCGGGUUGUAAAGCACUUUCAGAUGGGAAGAUAAUGACGGUACCAUCAGAAGAAGCACCGGCUAACUCCGUG
rnacentral:rRNA from 1 species